rnacentral:rRNA from 1 species
UAAAUCAGUUAUCGUUUAUUUGAUAGUACCUUACUACUUGGAUAACCGUGGUAAUUCUAGAGCUAAUACAUGCUGAAAACCCCGACUUCGGAAGGGGUGUAUUUAUUAGAUAAAAAACCAACGCCCUUCGGGGCUUCUUGGUGAUUCAUGAUAACUUUACGGAUCGCAUGGCCUUGCGCCGGCGACGGUUCAUUCAAAUUUCUGCCCUAUCAACUUUCGAUGGUAAGGUAUUGGCUUACCAUGGUUUCAACGGGUAACGGGGAAUUAGGGUUCGAUUCCGGAGAGGGAGCCUGAGAAACGGCUACCACAUCCAAGGAAGGCAGCAGGCGCGCAAAUUACCCAAUCCCGAUACGGGGAGGUAGUGACAAUAAAUACUGAUACAGGGCUCUUUUGGGUCUUGUAAUUGGAAUGAGUACAAUUUAAACCUCUUAACGAGGAACAAUUGGAGGGCAAGUCUGGUGCCAGCAGCCGCGGUAAUUCCAGCUCCAAUAGCGUAUAUUAAAGUUGUUGCAGUUAAAAAGCUCGUAGUUGAAACUUGGGUCUGGCUGGCAGGUCCGCCUCACCGCGUGUACUUGUCCGGCCGGACCUUCCUUCUGGAGAACCUCAUGCCCUUCACUGGGCGUGUUGGGGACCAGGACUUUUACUUUGAAAAAAUUAGAGUGUUCAAAGCAGGCCUUUGCUCGAAUACGUUAGCAUGGAAUAAUAGAAUAGGACGUGCGGUUCUAUUUUGUUGGUUUCUAGGACCGCCGUAAUGAUUAAUAGGGACAGUCGGGGGGCAUCAGUAUUCAAUUGUCAGAGGUGAAAUUCUUGGAUUUAUUGAAGACUAACUACUGCGAAAGCAUUUGCCAAGGAUGUUUUCAUUAAUCAGUGAACGAAAGUUAGGGGAUCGAAGACGAUCAGAUACCGUCGUAGUCUUAACCGUAAACUAUGCCGACUAGGGAUCGGGCGAUGUUCUUUUUUUUGACUCGCUCGGCAC